AGGCCGGCCAGACAGACGGACAGGCUGACCCCGGCCCGGGGGAGCAGGCGCAGCGGCUGCGCAGGUAAUGUGAAAUGGUGAGACAUGAUUCCUCAGAGCUCUGUUAUCCCACAAGUCUGUGUCUACCAGCCGCACAAGGAAAAUCUUUCACGAGGUUCCUCUCAGUUCCUGUGGCAGACAGACUCUUGGGGAAGUUGCUCACCAUCCCACCUGCUGAUGUCAUGGCUUUCUAAGCAAGCUGGCAUGUGGCAGCCUGCGGAUGUUGGGAGGCCACACGGCAAGGAACUGCAGCAUCUCUAGGAGCUGAGGGUGGACCCUGACUGGCAGCCAACAACAAACUGAAGCUCUCAAGCCUACCACCAUAAGGAAUUGAAUUCUGCCAAUAACCUGAGUGAGCAUGGAAGCAGAUCCUUUCCCAGCCAAGCCUCAGACAAGGUUCUGGCCCUGGGAAACACCUUGACUGAAGUCUUGUGAGACCAUAGGAAGAAGACUUAGCUGAGCCAGUCUCAGAUCCUGACCCAUAGAACCUGUUAGAUACUUAGCAUGUGUUGUUUUCAGCCUCUGUGUUUGUGGUAAUUUAUUAUACAAUACAUACUGUUCCCCACCCUAAUACUUGAAACUCCUGACCCCAAUCCCUGUGCUCUAUUUACAACUCCAUGCCACCACUGGGGGAAUAAUCCCAUAAUAGUAUCUGUGUGUGGGUAGCUUUACCUGUCUGUAUCUACACAUAGAUCUUGUGACAGUAAAUUUUAUCUAUCAACUUGACUGGGCUAAAGGAUGCCCUUAUAGUUAAUUAAACAUUAUUUCUGGAUAUGUCUGACUAGCAGAGAUUAGCAUUUGGAUUGGUGGACUGAGUGAAGCAGAUGGCCCUCAAUGUCAUCCAAUCCUUGAGGGCCUGAAUAGAGCAAAAAAGGCAGAUGAAGGUUGAUUUUGCUCUUUGCCUGACUGCUUGAGUUGGGACAUUGAUCUCUUGCGCUUGGUGCUUUGGUUCUUAGGCCUUCAGACCUGAGCUGAAAUCUACACCACCGGCUCUCUGACUAUCAGGCUUUGGACUAUACUUUGGGCUUUCCUGGGUCUCUUACCUGGCAGACAGCAGAUUUUGGAACUUUUCAGCCUCCAUAAUCAUCAACUCUGUGAGGGAUUGUUAUCUCCAUUUUAUGGAUGAGGAAGCUGACUCUGAGAGAUGACUUUCCAAAUUCAUCCAACUGGAAGAAAAAGGAAGUCUCUGGGGACUUGAAUCCAGAACUGUCCAGCUCCAAGUCCAGGGCUCACUCUAUUAAGCCACUCCAUGAGGAAUGAGUCCCUAAGGAGGCCACAGAAGGCCCUAAGCCCUCUUUUGUUCUCUGGAAGAGAGUGCCAUUUCUUGGCCCUUCCCAAGGCCUUGACAACUGAAGUUCCCAGAAGAACCACAAAGCAUAAAUUUCCCCAAAAGGGGAAUUUUGUUGAUGGCUUUAGUCUAUUCCCUCCUAAAAGACCAGCUACAACCAAAUGAAGUGAACAUAACCUCAAGGGUGUAUUGUCUUCAUAAUAAAAGAUGAAGCUUAGAACUGGAUCACUUGGCCCUUUCUCUUCUGACAUCCUCCCAGUUGA
rnacentral:lncRNA from 1 species